rnacentral:rRNA from 1 species
UACGGAGGAGGCAAGCGUUAUCCGGAAUUAUUGGACGUAAAGCGUCCGUAGAUGGUUUUGUCAGUCUGCUGUCAAAGCACAGGGCUUAACCCUGUAAAGGCAGUGGAAACUACAAGACUAGAGUGCAGUAGGGGCAGAGGGAAUUCCCAGUGUAGCGGUGAAAUGCGUAGAGAUUGGGAAGAACACCCGUGGCGAAAGCGCUCUGCUGGACUGCAACUGACAUUGAGGGACGAAAGCUAGGGGAGCGAAUGGG